AUUGAACGCUGGCGGCAGGCUUAACACAUGCAAGUCGAGCGGAGACUUCGGUCUUAGCGGCGAACGGGUGAGGAAUGCCUGGGAAUCUGCCUAUUAGUGGGGGAUAACGUUCCGAAAGGAACGCUAAUACCGCAUACGUCCUACGGGAGAAAGCAGGGGACCUUCGGGCCUUGCGCUAAUAGAUGAGCCCAGAUCGGAUUAGCUAGUUGGUGGGGUAAAGGCUCACCAAGGCGACGAUCCGUAGCUGGUCUGAGAGGAUGAUCAGCCACACUGGAACUGAGGCACGGUCCAGACUCCUACGGGAGGCAGCAGUGGGGAAUAUUGGACAAUGGGCGAAAGCCUGAUCCUGCCAUGCCGCGUGUGUGAAGAAGGCCUUCGGGUUGUAAAGCACUUUAAGCGGGGAGGAAGUACUUGGGGCUAAUAUCCCUGAGUGUUGACGUUACCCGCAGAAUAAGCACCGGCUAACUCUGUGCCAGCCGCCGCCGUAAGAC
rnacentral:rRNA from 1 species